ACUGCUAUCGGAUUGAUACUAAGCCAUGCGAGUCUUUGUAGCAAUACAAGGCAGACGGCUCAGUAACACGUAGUCAAUCUACCCUAUGGACGGGGAUAACCUCGGGAAACUGAGAAUAAUACCCGAUAGAUCAUUAUGCCUGGAAUGGUUUAUGGUCGAAAUGAUUUAUCGCCGUAGGAUGGGACUGCGGUCUAUCAGCUUGUUGGUGAGGUAAUGGCCCACCAAGGCUAUAACAGAUACGGGCUCUGAGAGGAGAAGCCCGGAGAUGGGUACUGAGACACGGACCCAGGCCCUAUGGGGCGCAGCAGGCGAGAAAACUUUGCAAUGUGCGAAAGCACGACAAGGUUAAUCCGAGUGUUUUCUGCUAAAGAAAUCUUUUGUCAGUCCUAAAAACACUGAUGAAUAAGGGGUGGGCAAGUUCUGGUGUCAGCCGCCGCGGUAAAACCAGCACCUCAAGUGGUCAGGAGGAUUAUUGGGCCUAAAGCAUCCGUAGCCGGCCGUGUAAGUUUUCGGUUAAAUCUAUACGCUCAACGUAUAGGCUGCCGGGAAUACUGCACAGCUAGGGAGUGGGAGAGGUAGACGGUACUCGGUAGGAAGGGGUAAAAUCCUUUGAUCUAUUGAUGACCACCUGUGGCGAAGGCGGUCUACUAGAACACGUCCGACGGUGAGGGAUGAAAGCUGGGGGAGCAAACCGGAUUAGAUACCCGGGUAGUCCCAGCUGUAAACAAUGCAAACUCAGUGAUGCACUGGCUUGUGGCCAGUGCAGUGCCGCAGGGAAGCCGUUAAGUUUGCCGUCUGGGAAGUACGUACGCAAGUAUGAAACUUAAAGGAAUUGGCGGGGGAGCACCACAAGGGGUGAAG
rnacentral:rRNA from 1 species